rnacentral:rRNA from 1 species
AAAGGAAUUGACGGGGGCCCGCACAAGCGGUGGAGCAUGUGGUUUAAUUCGAUGCAACGCGAAGAACCUUACCAGGUCUUGACAUCUGUAGAAUUCUUAUGAAAGUAGGAAGUGCCUUCGGGAGCUACAAGACAGGUGGUGCAUGGUUGUCGUCAGCUCGUGUCGUGAGAUGUUGGGUUAAGUCCCGCAACGAGCGCAACCCUUGCUAUUAGUUGCUAACAGGAAAGCUGAGCACUCUAAUGGAACUGCCCGUGACAAGCGGGAGGAAGGUGGGGAUGACGUCAAAUCAUCAUGCCCUUUAUGAUCUGGGCUACACACGUGCUACAAUGGAUGGUACAGAGAGCAGCGAGGCCGAGAGGUGGAGCGAAUCUCAAAAAGCCAUUCUCAGUUCGGAUUGUAGUCUGCAACUCGACUACAUGAAGUCGGAAUCGCUAGUAAUCGCGAAUCAGCAUGUCGCGGUGAAUGCGUUCCCGGGCCUUGUACACACCGCCCGU